UACGUAGGGGGCAAGCGUUGUCCGGAUUUAUUGGGCGUAAAGAGCGUGUAGGCGGCUUUACAGGUCCGUUGUGAAAACUCGAGGCUCAACCUCGAGACGCCGGUGGAAACCGUAAGGCUAGAGUCCGGAAGAGGAGAGUGGAAUUCCUGGUGUAGCGGUGAAAUGCGCAGAUAUCAGGAGGAACACCGGUGGUGUAGACGGCUUUCUGGACCGUAACUGACGCUGAAACACGAAAGCGUGGGUAGCAAACAGG
rnacentral:rRNA from 1 species